rnacentral:rRNA from 1 species
GCGAUCAUACAAGCCCUAAUGCACCGGAUCCCAUUAGAACUCCACAGUUACGUGUGCUUGGGCGAGAGUAGUACUAGGAUAGGUGACCCCCUGGGAAGUCCUCGUGUUACUCCC